rnacentral:lncRNA from 1 species
AUUUUCAAAACAUGAAGCAUAAACUAAAAUUGCAGGCAACAAUUAUGUAUAUACACUUUUUUGUACUAAACCACUUCGCACAUAUAGCCAUCGUCAAAUCUCAUGGAAUCAUUUUUCCAACGAAACGUCUGUCGAUACAAUUCGUGAGGAAUAUUUAAUAUUUAUUAUUGUUGUUAGACUUGCCAGCUGGGAAGAACGUGAUAUUUCAGUAUCUUACGUUCACUAAAUCUCUCUCUCUCUCUCUCUCUCUCUCUCUCUCACAAACACAUGUUGAAUAAAUCAGAGAACCGACUCCUCUGCUGCACCACAGAUUGUUGUUAGUCUGAUUUGGAUAAAGGUUAGUAUUCCUACUUAUCUUUCUAUCUAUUGCAUUAAACGUUUAACGUGCCUCUGAAUAUACCUUAAGUAUAUGUGCAAAUAAAAUUUGUCAUAAAAUUUUUUCAUCUCUGUGAUGUAGAUUUUGAAACAAUUUUCUCAAAAUUGGUACUUUCUCACUUUCCAGAUUGGUAGAAAGUGAAAUCUUAGUCUCCUAUGUUUUAAAACCAACUAUAAGUUCAAUCUUCUUUAUUUAUAACACUGGAUUCAAAAGCUUGAUUCAAUUAUCAUUUUUCCUACUGUAAAGAAAAUGAUUUUUUUUUUUUUGACAUAUAUUAUUAUCCAGCAAAAAAAAAAAAAAAAAUGAAAAAACUCAAGUCUUGCUCAUUUAUGGCUAUCUGCUAUUAUGCACCAAAUAAUGUUACUGAAUAACUUCUGGCAUACUAUUGUAUAAAGGGAUUUAAGCCCCGUAUGACCUUCAUUAAUUUUUAUUUCAUUACAUUCCAUUUUUCUUUUUUUUUUUUUUCUUUUUUUCAAUCACUCAAUUUUUCAUAAAAAUAAUAUUACACGUAAAUCGAAAAUAUUUUUUUUUUCAAAUACCAAUUUUUCAAAUAAAAAAAACACUCUUCCACCCAUUUUUAUUUCCACAAUAUGGAGGAGGCCAAACGGGGCUUAAUAUAAAAUUGGAAUACAAAUUGCUUGUUGGAGUAACAGCGUCUAUAAAUCCAGAUAAACAAAGAUUGGCCAUUUUAUCUCUCUAGUUCAUUUUAAAUAAUGUUCAAUAAAAAAUAUUACUUUCUCUCUCAUGUUGAAUGAAUUACACAACCAUUUCGAAGCUAGACUCCUCUGCCAAGGAAAAUCAAAACCUGCUGCACCACUCAGUUGCCGUGAAAGUAUUUCAAACAGAUUGUUAGUUUAAUUUGGAAAAAGGUAUCUCUACUUACCUUUCAUCCUUCGAAUAAACCUUCGGUUUAUUAUAGUUUUAGUUUUUGAAAUUUUUUGUUUACUGUCAAAAAUAAAUUGGAAGCUUAUUAGGAUUAACCUGUGUUUUAAAAACCACCAAAUCUAC